UACAAACAGCAACUCGGGUCGGUCCCUGAUUGGUCAAUGCCAUGGUGCGGGGCCACGUGAUGUGACGUUAGUCCGAGGUCAUUCCUCUCUAGUUCGCCAAGGUAGACGGAGGCAAAUCUCGAUUUACUUCUAAAUUUCCGCCAAAGUUGCAGAUAUUCUGAACUCACACAUUCAUCGCAGCUGUCACGAACUGGAUGCCAGGACAGCGCGCUCAACGCAACCCACUCCAUCAGGGAUCGAAAACCAUCGAGUAAUAGUCUUUCAUGAUGAUCGAUUCAGCAAAGAAUGAUAACGCGGACCAAGUAUUAUACGAGAACUCACACAUUCAUCGCGGCUGUCACGAACUGGAUGCCAGGACAGCGCGCUCAACGCAACCCACUCCAUCAGGGAUCGAAAACCAUCGAGUAAUAGUCUUUCAUGACGAUCGAUUUGGCAAAGAAUGAUAACGCGGACCAAGUAUUA